GACGAACGCUGGCGGCGUGCUUAACACAUGCAAGUCGAACGAUGAAGCUAGAGCUUGCUCUGGUGGAUUAGUGGCGAACGGGUGAGUAACACGUGAGUAACCUGCCCCGAACUCUGGGAUAACUGCUGGAAACGGUAGCUAAUACCGGAUAUGACCAAUGAAGGCAUCUUCUGUUGGUGGAAAGAAUUUCGGUUCGGGAUGGGCUCGCGGCCUAUCAGCUUGUUGGUGAGGUAACGGCUCACCAAGGCGACGACGGGUAGCCGGCCUGAGAGGGUGAUCGGCCACACUGGGACUGAGACACGGCCCAGACUCCUACGGGUGGCAGCAGUGGGGAAUAUUGCACAAUGGGCGCAAGCCUGAUGCAGCAACGCCGCGUGAGGGACGACGGCCUUCGGGUUGUAAACCUCUUUUAGUAGGGAAGAAGCGAAAGUGACGGUACCUGCAGAAAAAGCACCGGCUAACUACGUGCCAGCAGCCGCAGUAA
rnacentral:rRNA from 1 species